rnacentral:tRNA from 1 species
UUAAUUGAAACCAAAAAGAGGUAAGUCACUGUUAAUGAUUAAAUUGAAUUAUUUUCCAAUUAAA